CGAAUUUAAAUCUGUUUCGUAAACUAUUUAAAGUAAGAAGAAAUUGUAACUAGUAAAAGAAUUAAUUACAAAAUACAAUCUGAGUUUCCAUAACAUAUUUUAAAUUCUAAACGGAACAAGUAAUAACAAAUUAUGAAUUUGUUAAUAAUGUUUCACUGUAAAUAUUAUUCAGGUUUUAGUGUUAUUAGCUCAUAUAGUUAUUAUAUUAUAACAGUAUAAUUUAUAUUUAAUAAUAUUAUAAUAUUAAUAGAUACAUUUUUGCCUGUCCACGUUUCUCGACUAGCUAACAGGCCCAGUCCUCCCCUGAUAAUUACCAACACUAUGCAAACGAGUUAUGGUGUAGAAAUUAUGGUUUGACACAUUUUGGUUUUUAUUUUGAAGUGCUUCUGUAAUAAGAGCAAAUGAUCCCAAUGCUAAUUUAAAAAAUUCAUUAUAAUGCUAUUGACUACAAGUGUAAUAAAUUAAUAUUUCUUUUUUGUUUCCUCAAAAAUAUAUUAACAUUAUUAUUGUAUUAUGGAAUGACACUCUACUUCUUUUUCUUAUUUAGUAUUUUUAUCAUUUAAAUUGAGGAGUUAAUAUAAAAUAUUAUUAAUAUUUAAAUUUUGUUGACAAAUGUCUACAUUAUUUUAAAUUGGGAAAUG